rnacentral:tRNA from 1 species
GCGAGGGUGGCGGAAUUGGCAGACGCGCAGGAUUUAGGAUCCUGUCUCUUCGGAGGUGGGGGUUCAAGUCCCCCCUCUCGCACCA